rnacentral:tRNA from 1 species
AGUUUUAAUAGUUUAAAAAUAAAACAUUGGUCUUGUAAACCAAAAAUAAGAAACCUUUUAAAAC